UACGUAGGGUGCGAGCGUUGUCCGGAAUUAUUGGGCGUAAAGAGCGUGUAGGCGGCCUGAAAGGUCAGCUGUGAAAACUCGAGGCUCAACCUCGAGACGUCGGUUGAAACCAUCUGGCUAGAGUCCGGAAGAGGAGAGUGGAAUUCCCGGUGUAGCGGUGAAAUGCGCAGAUAUCGGGAAGAACACCCGUGGCGAAGGCGGCUCUCUGGGACGGUACUGACGCUGAGACGCGAAAGCGUGGGGAGCGAACAGG
rnacentral:rRNA from 1 species